UACGUAGGGUGCGAGCGUUAAUCGGAAUUACUGGGCGUAAAGCGUGCGUAGGCGGUUUUGUAAGCCAGAUGUGAAAGCCCCGGGCUCAACCUGGGAAUGGCAUUUGGGACUGCAAGGCUGGAGUUUGGCAGAGGAGACUGGAAUUCCUGGUGUAGCAGUGAAAUGCGUAGAUAUCAGGAGGAAUACCGAUGGCGAAGGCAGGUCUCUGGGCUAUAACUGACGCUCAUGCACGAAAGCGUGGGGAGCAAACAGG
rnacentral:rRNA from 1 species